rnacentral:rRNA from 1 species
UACGUAGGCAGCAAGCGUUGUUCGGAGUUACUGGGCGUAAAGAGUGCGUAGGCGGUUCCCUAAGUUCGGUGUGAAAUCUCCCGGCUCAACUGGGAGGGUGCGCCGGAAACUGGGGGGCUUGAGUGUGGGAGAGGAAAGCGGAAUUCCCAGUGUAGUGGUGAAAUACGUAGAGAUUGGGAAGAACACCAGUGGCGAAGGCGGUUCUCUGGGCAUUACCUGACGCUGAGGAGCGAAAGUGUGGGGAGCGAACAGG